rnacentral:lncRNA from 1 species
AUGUUUCUUGACAUACAUACCUUAUUCAGCUUCUCUUCUGUCCCACAGCACUACACAGGCUUUUCCUACAUCCUCAGCAACUUUCAUGGUACUCUGAUGUCCCCUGGCUGUUAUCUGGCUCUCUUUGAUCUUUCCCAGUUGAAUCGAAGCACUCUCUUAAUAUCCCUCAAUAUAUCCUCUAUGAUCUCCACAGACACCUCUGGCUUGCUGAUGGUUAUUUCCACGUUCUUUUUUAAGUUUGACUCAAAACAGUUUUGCUUAUCUACAAACAUUUGCAAUCAUGCAGCCAAAAAGGACUUUCUUGUAGAGUUCAAGCAUUCAUUUUGUUUCUCUGACAACAUUUUCUUUAGGAAAAUACACAGCUGUCCUAACGAAUUUUGGGAACAGGAGAUUGUCACUGCAUUUGCAGAAAUGUACAGGAGCAGUUUGAGGCUCUUUUACCAAAGGACUAAAAUAAGGAAUUUCCAUGGUGUGAAGGAUUUCCCUGUGGGCGCAGACUGGGCAUGAAAGGCCCUCUGGAGGGGUGGAAGAAAAGACUUCCUGCUGCCUCAAGUGGAAACCUCCUUCAGAAGAACAG